rnacentral:lncRNA from 1 species
AUGAACUUAUCAUGGAAUGAGCAUAUGUUUAUUGCAUCACGCUCAAAGAUUCUGUUGUUGUUGUUGUUGCUGGGCAGAAGACACGGCUUGUUUUAUUUUUUUUUCCCAAUUCAGAACUAUUCUGAAUGCUUGAAGGAGUCUCCUUCCAUACAACCAAGAAUGUACUGGAUUGGAAUGAACAUUUUAAAGCUUUAAGAUCUGGCACACUUCCAAAAGCCUUACAAAAUUGGGGUUAAAGCUAGGCCUGUGGAUCUAAGGGUCAGUGAGCUUUGUUUUCCAAAACCUUUGACUUGUAAUGUGUUUAUACAUUAUGUGACUCCAAUAAAAGCCAUCUCCAGCUCAUGCCAUUGCUGUUACCUUUGUUUUAGGAUCUCAAUUUCUGUUCUUAACAUUGAAUGCAAAUAUUGCAGCCAUGAGUCUCUUAGCUCAAAUCAUUAUUUAUUAUUCAGACAAUCUCCUCACUGCGAACAAAGCAGGUGCUUCAUGAAUGCCCACAAUAAAUAACGGAUAUUCAUAGUGCUCACUAUACACUAAGGUGUGUGCUGAUGCUGUCAUAUAUUCUUUGCCACAUAGGUGUGAGGACAGCUACCAGUCCCAUUUUAUAGGUGGAUAAACUAAGACUCAGAAGGUUUAAGUGACUUGCCCUAGCUCAUUGAGUGUAAAGUUUUGAUUUUUAACUCAAGUAUAUCGGACUCUAAAGCACUUGUUUCUCUGGCUCGUAAAGAAAGAUCCAAUUAAUGUCAUCAGAACCUAUGAAAGAACUUUAUAAAAUUGUGAAUUUUUGAGCUCCUGAAGCUUCUAGUUCCAGAGAUCUAGGUGGAACUUGGAAAACUGGUAAGGAAUGGAUUAAUGGUAUCUAUUGUUAGUUGUUAGUUAUGCUACUCCAGUUUUUUUAAUAGGACCAAGAACAUUAGAGAAGAGGUUAUUAAUAUUCAAAACAUUGCAUGAAUAUGCAAAUGUGAAUCUCUGGGAAAUGUUCCAUAAUCUCGUUCAGAUUCUCAAUGAGGCCCUCAAACCGAGAAAGUUAAAAACCACUGGAAAGAGGCAAACACAAGUACGUUUGUUUCAUUUUUUUUUUAAUGAAGGUUUCUACUCACACCUAACUACAUUUUUUUCACCC